rnacentral:rRNA from 1 species
GACGAACGCUGGCGGCAUGCCUAAUACAUGCAAGUCGAGCGGAGUUGAUGGAAAGCUUGCUUUCCUGAUACUUAGCGGCGGACGGGUGAGUAACACGUAGGCAACCUGCCCUCAAGCUUGGGACAACUACCGGAAACGGUAGCUAAUACCGAAUACUUGUUUUCUUCGCCUGAAGAGAACUGGAAAGACGGAGCAAUCUGUCACUUGGGGAUGGGCCUGCGGCGCAUUAGCUAGUUGGUGGGGUAACGGCUCACCAAGGCGACGAUGCGUAGCCGACCUGAGAGGGUGAUCGGCCACACUGGGACUGAGACACGGCCCAGACUCCUACGGGAGGCAGCAGUAGGGAAUCUUCCGCAAUGGGCGAAAGCCUGACGGAGCAAUGCCGCGUGAGUGAUGAAGGUUUUCGGAUCGUAAAGCUCUGUUGCCAGGGAAGAACGCUUGGGAGAGUAACUGCUCCCAAGGUGACGGUACCUGAGAAGAAAGCCCCGGCUAACUACGUGCCAGCAGCCGCCGCGG